rnacentral:rRNA from 1 species
UACGUAGGGUGCAAGCGUUAUCCGGAUUUAUUGGGCGUAAAGGGCUCGUAGGCGGUUCGUCGCGUCCGGUGUGAAAGUCCAUCGCUUAACGGUGGAUCCGCGCCGGGUACGGGCGGGCUUGAGUGGAGUAGAGGUAGGCGGAAUUCCCGGUGUAGCGGUGAAAUGCGUAGAGAUCGGGAGGAACACCAGUGGCGAAGGCGGCCUACUGGGCUCUAACUGACGCUGAGGCACGAAAGCGUGGGUAGCAAACAGG